GGCAGUGGUGGCUUGGUGGUUAAGGCUCUCGAUUAUUGAUCAGAAGAUUUGGGGUUCAAGCCCCAGCACUGCCA